GGUACGUCGAGGACAGCUUGGGGAGACGAUUGACCACCCAGUUUUUUAAAAAAUAGGUGUUUACUGAAGUAAGCAAGGAUUUGUGGCUGUUUGGAGCUGGAGUGGCAGAUGGAACCAACUUGGAGUCUGGGGUAGAAGUAUGAGUUACAACCCAGAGGCUGCUGCAUGAUGCCUAGACAUCACACAGGCCACCUCCACACUGGGAGAGCUGAGCAGAUCUCAGAGUAGACAUGCUAUUGCCUUCAAGCAUGGUCCAGACAAGGAUUCCUGCCGCCUCCCACUUUGGACUACACUGGAAAGCUGGACAGCCAUCAGAAUUUGCCAUCAGUGGAGUAAAUGAACAAGCUGGUUACCUCAAUGGAAAUCCCACAAGGAGAUAAAUCCCUUCCUACAACAUCAAUAUUUCAAUGGAAUGCUUCCUGGCAUGGAAGUGUCUGAGUGAGCCCCAGUGGCUAGGCCCAAAUUCAAGGAAAGCCCAAAUCUGCAAACUGGAAAAAUGGAAUGGAGAAUGUAAAUACUAUAAAGAGAUGACAUCUGAAACAAUUUCAAAAUAAGAGGCAAUGACUUCUUCAAGUCUUAACUUGAGUCCUUGAGAGCUGAGCUAUUCAAUGAAUUAUAUAUAAAAACAGUCCCGAGGAAUACAACCUCCUCCAUGUACUGCUUAGAGCAGCCCAGUAUUCACAGAUGCAUUCAUGCGGCUCAGCAUACCUCUGAAGUAGGACCAUCAUUCCAUUUUACUAAUUAGGAACAGGCUGAGGUAAAUUAGGGAAUUUACUCGAGGUGCCUUAGCAAGAGUUAUCAGUGAGAAGACCUGAACUCCCAAACCUGUGCUUGACACCACGCCACCAUUCCCUUUUAGAACUUGCCUCCCCUGGCUCUUAGGUCUUUGAUCUUUAUAAGAUCUUCUAUCUAGCCAAGCCCUAGCCUUCUCCUUUUAAUGCUCCCUCUCAAAACAGAGCUCUUUCAUGUGUCAAAGUUUCAACCACAAAGACGAUCACAAAUUACUUGACUUUAACUCCUCUCUCUCAAUCCAAAGGCCAAAUGCAGUAACACAUUAUCUUCCCACAGAAUGUCAGAAGGCUCUUAAAAUAGCAAGACUAGCCACUUUUCUAUUAAAGUUUUCUUAUCACCUGAACCAUCAGCAAGUAUUCUGGAUGCGGUUAGCGGCAACAGAGCAGCAGACCACAUGCAGUGGACAGCAGCACCAGACCAGGCUGGGCCUGGCUAGGCUUACUUACCUGUAGACGACGGCAGGGAUGCGCUUCCAGGACCUGAAGCUUGCUACACUCUCUAGUUCUUUGUCGGUGAUCCAGGCAGGCACUAUGAGCUCCUGUGGAUAGCUACCACAUAGCCUAAUGGGGAAGAGUCUAUCUCCAAUGUGACAUCAAGUGGUGACGAGACCAAUGGAAACUGCCUGCCUACAUGAGAACACAAUACUGUCUAGGAAACACACGCACCUGGAACAACAGAGAUCUGGAGGGGGGAUGGAAAGGAAGGUUCCAGAAUCCUAUGAAAUACCAAUUUUCCACUCCAGUAACAGCAAUGGGAACAGAAGGCUCAAGAAGUACUCUGAAGACCAUGCAGUUAGAUAUAAUAAAAUUCCACUGAAAAAAUAGGUCUAUGUCUAAGUUCAAAUGCUCCGCCGCAUGAGAACUGGGGUUUCUGCAAAGGCACUGGCUGUGAAGCACAGUCCAUAGGCACCCAUACAACUCACUU